CCCUUAGAUGUUCUGGGCCGCACGCGUGCUACAAUGAUAAGAUCAACGAGUACCUUUUCCUUGGCCGAGAGGCCUGGGUAAUCUUCUGAAAUCUUAUCGUGCUGGGGAUUGACGCUUGCAAUUAUUCGUCAUAAACGAGGAAUUCCUAGUAAGCGCAGGUCAUCAGCCUGCGUUGAUUACGUCCCUGCCCUUUGUACACACCGCCCGUCGCUCCUACCGAUUGAAUGAUCCGGUGAAGUCUUCGGACUGAGCGUCUGGAAGCAAUUCCAUUCGUCUCGGGAAGUUGGAUGAACCUUAUCAUUUAGAGGAAGGAGAAGUCGUAACA
rnacentral:rRNA from 1 species